rfam:Parasitella parasitica strain CBS 412.66 genome assembly, contig: contig_16588
AGCUACGGCCAUACAAUGCUGAAAAUACCGGAUCCCGUCCGAUCUCCACAGUCAAGUAGCAUCUGGACUAGUCAGUACUAUGGUGGGGGACCACAUGGGAAUACUGGUUGCUGUAGUUU